rnacentral:rRNA from 1 species
GAUGAACGCUGGCGGCAUGCCUAAUACAUGCAAGUCGAGCGAACAGAUGAGGAGCUUGCUCCUCUGACGUUAGCGGCGGACGGGUGAGUAACACGUGGAUAACCUACCUAUAAGACUGGGAUAACUUCGGGAAACCGGAGCUAAUACCGGAUAAUAUAUUGAACCGCAUGGUUCAAUAGUGAAAGACGGUUUUGCUGUCACUUAUAGAUGGAUCCGCGCCGCAUUAGCUAGUUGGUAAGGUAACGGCUUACCAAGGCAACGAUGCGUAGCCGACCUGAGAGGGUGAUCGGCAACACUGGAACUGAGACACGGUCCAGACUCCUACGGGAGGCAGCAGUAGGGAAUCUUCCGCAAUGGGCGAAAGCCUGACGGAGCAACGCCGCGUGAGUGAUGAAGGUCUUCGGAUCGUAAAACUCUGUUAUUAGGGAAGAACAAAUGUGUAAGUAACUAUGCACGUCUUGACGGUACCUAAUCAGAAAGCCACGGCUAACUACGUG